GACGAACGCUGGCGGCGUGCUUAACACAUGCAAGUCGAACGGAAAGGCCCUGCUUUUGUGGGGUGCUCGAGUGGCGAACGGGUGAGUAACACGUGAGUAACCUGCCCUUGACUUUGGGAUAACUUCAGGAAACUGGGGCUAAUACCGGAUAGGAGCUCCUGCUGCAUGGUGGGGGUUGGAAAGUUUCGGCGGUUGGGGAUGGACUCGCGGCUUAUCAGCUUGUUGGUGGGGUAGUGGCUUACCAAGGCUUUGACGGGUAGCCGGCCUGAGAGGGUGACCGGCCACAUUGGGACUGAGAUACGGCCCAGACUCCGACGGGAGGCAGCAGUGGGGAAUAAUGCACAAUGGGCGGAAGCCUGAUGCAGCAACGCCGCGUGCGGGAUGACGGCCUUCGGGUUGUAAACCGCUUUCGCCUGUGACGAAGCGUGAGUGACGGUAAUGGGUAAAGAAGCACCGGCUAACUACGUG
rnacentral:rRNA from 1 species